rnacentral:rRNA from 1 species
UACGUAGGGUGCAAGCGUUGUCCGGAAUUAUUGGGCGUAAAGAGCUCGUAGGCGGUCUGUCACGUCGGCUGUGAAAACCCGAGGCUCAACCUCGGGCCUGCAGUCGAUACGGGCAAACUAGAGUACUGCAGGGGAGACUGGAAUUCCUGGUGUAGCGGUGAAAUGCGCAGAAGUAUCAGGAGGAACACCGGUGGCGAAGGCGGGUCUCUGGGGCAGUAACU